UACGAAGGGGCUAGCGUUGCUCGGAAUCACUGGGCGUAAAGGGUGCGUAGGCGGGUCUUUAAGUCAGGGGUGAAAUCCUGGAGCUCAACUCCAGAACUGCCUUUGAUACUGAAGAUCUUGAGUUCGGGAGAGGUGAGUGGAACUGCGAGUGUAGAGGUGAAAUUCGUAGAUAUUCGCAAGAACACCAGUGGCGAAGGCGGCUCACUGGCCCGAUACUGACGCUGAGGCACGAAGCGUGGGAGCAACAGG
rnacentral:rRNA from 1 species